rnacentral:rRNA from 1 species
UCGGGAAUUUUGGGCAAUGGGCGAAAGCCUGAUCCAGCCAUGCCGCGUGAGUGAAGAAGGCCUUCGGGUUGUAAAGCUCUUUUAGUCGGAAAGAAAGAGUUGCAAUGAAUAAUUGUGAUUUAUGACGGUACCGACAGAAAAAGCACCGGCUAACUACGUGCCAGCAGCCGCGGUAAUACGUAGGGUGCGAGCGUUAAUCGGAAUUACUGGGCGUAAAGGGUGCGCAGGCGGUCUUGCAAGUCAGAUGUGAAAGCCCCGGGCUUAACCUGGGAAUUGCGUUUGAAACUACAAGGCUAGAGUGCAGCAGAGGGGAGUGGAAUUCCAUGUGUAGCAGUGAAAUGCGUAGAGAUGUGGAAGAACACCGAUGGCGAAGGCAGCUCCCUGGGUUGACACUGACGCUCAUGCACGAAAGCGUGGGGAGCAAACA